ensembl:lncRNA
GUCCUUUCUGGCAGGAAACAGACAUCCUUUCCAGCUAUCAUUUAUUGACAACUUUCUUGCAGAGCAGGUGCUGUGCUAAAUGCUUUGCAUAUAUAAACCUAUGUAAUUCUCACAACAGCUCUGUGAGGCAGGACGCUGGGGCACAGCGAGGUUAAGCGACUUGCCUGAGGUCACACAGAACUGGCAUUCAAACCAGGAUGCCUGGCUCCAGAGGGCACCCUCACCUCUCCUCAAAGUGGAGAUCCCUGGAGCAGGGGAGGCCCAGGACCAGGGGUUUGGGUUGGACCUGGCGGGCAUUGGGGAGCCAUGGCAGGGUUCUGAGCCAGGGAUCAUAUGCUCCCAGGACUGGCUGGACAACUGGACCCCACUGAGGGCUGAAUACACCACCCCUCCCACAGGGAUGUGGUUAGGACAGAAGGCGGCAGAACAAGACUUCCCCCAAAGAAAAGACCUGAGAUGAGGUUGGCAGGCCAUGUGCUGGGCAUGAAGUUGUGAAGGUGGGAGCUCAGGCACAGGGAAGGGAGCCAGCAGCUCCCUGCCCUCAGUGGGUCUGCUACAGAUGGGUGCUCGGUUCCUGUGCCUGGGGCCUAAGAGCUGCCAGCCUACGGGGGCCACCCGGUGUCCAUCUGUCUGCGUGCACAUGUGUGUAUUCGCGUGUGUAAGAAGGCAGGGAGAAGGGGCCUUUGCGUGUGCCUGUUUGCAGGGGAACCUGUCCCCCACCCCCACCUGCUGCUGCAGCCACAGAGAACAGGAUGCCCUGACUCCAAUCUGCACCUCUAAGGCCUUGAAACCACAGCCACCACGUCAAGGGCGAGUGCACAAGGGCUGGCGGGAGGUGGGGCCCUGGGUGCAGGGUCUGCAGGUGUGAGCCAACAGACGUGUGCAAGGCUGCCCUGGGGGUGUGGUUCCAGGGAGGGGGGCAGGUGGGGUGGAAGGGAGCUGGUCCUCCCCUGGGAGGGAGCACAGCGUCCAUCCCCUCUGACCACAGGUUGCGGGGUCCGACAGCUAGCCCCCAUCUGGCCCCUCAGAGGACCAGCCUUUGCUUGUGCAGCUGCUCUCCUCUGGGUGACAGUCCUAACAACACUGUACAAAGGUCUGUAGAGCAUCUAAAAUGGCCCAGCAGUUCCAGGCACUUGGGAAACAUCCACGAGCAAAACAAAGAUCCCUGCCCUCGUGGGGUCAAUAUUCUUGUUGGGGAGACACAGUAGACAGAGCAAGUGAAGUCAGGUAUGUCAGUAGGUGGCAGGUGACACAGGGGAAGAGAGGAGAUGGAACCACGCUGAGAGCUGUAAUGUGCUGGGGGGGGAGAGGGGGAGGGGCUGUGCUGGGGGGGGUGACAAGAGGGGUGUGUGCCCAUGUGUACACAGGUCACAGUAUUAAACUGGGUGGUCCACGGAGGCCCUACUGAAAAGGUGACAUUUCAACAAAAGCUUGGAGAAGGAGCCAAGCAAGGUCUGGAAGAAAACAUUCCAGACAGAGGAAAUAGCUAGAACAAGGGCCCUGAGGCAGAGGCAUGCCUUGCCAGGACUGAGGGAAGGACAACCUGGCCUGCUGGUGGACCGACGUGGCCCCACGCCUUCUGGCAUCUGCUCACCUUGCCAAGAGUGAGGGCUGACGCCCCGUGGGUUAAAGAAAAUGGACCUUCUGGUACCUACAGCAAAAGCGAAAGGGCUCCCACAGGAACCAGUGUCAUGGGAAGUAGGGGACAGAGAGGGACAAAGGGUUUAGACCAGAAGGAGCCUACCAUCCCUUGGGGGCCUGAGCUCAGGGAGAAGGCCCUAGACUGGGGGCCUCUAGGGGGAGGGUGGGGGAAGUCUCUGGGGUCCCCAGGCUCCCUGACCAACCUGUGCCUGGGAGCUCACUGAGAGAGUGCAGUGAGGAGCUGCAUCCUGCUGCCUGGGGGCCAGCUGGCCACUCGGGGGGCAGGGAGCCUGCCACCACCUGCCUCUGCUGAGGCUGCCAGCUCCUUCUGCAUUCAAGCACCCCAUGGCGGUUGGGCAGGGGGCAGUUGGCCUCAGGAGAGGGAAGCUGAUGGCUGAUCAGGGGACGGGAUGUGUCUACAGCCCCACCCAGCCCUGCAGUUUGUGGGAGAUGGCAUUCUAGAAGGCAGAUCCCCUCUAAGCCAGCCAGACCACCACCAAAGGAUGGGGGUAGCAAUGACUGAGAGAGGGGAUGGCGGGAGGUUAGGAACUAGAAAAAAGGGAGGAGGCUUGACCUGGGCCUUUUAGGAUGAGAGCAAAUCUGAAUGGGUGGAGAGGAGAAAGGACAAGUCCAUGCAUUCACACACUGGCACACACAGGUGACACCACACACACACACACACUCAGUCCCUUAAGCUUCACCACCCUCCCCCAAAAUACACAGGUUUUCACAGCCGGAGAUAUCCACUACACCUCACAGAUGCCAAAGUAACACUCAGACACACAUGCACUGGGGACAUUCACACUCACGUAAGACAUGCCAGCACCAGGGCACACACAGAGUCACACACCCUCAGAGACCUAGAGUGGGUCCCCUGGGCACCAGAAGCACAUUGACUCCUUAGAAACGGACUUGGGAGAAGAUGAUGAUGUGUCUGCAAUGCAUAGCAGAACAGAGGCUGGAAAGUAGGGCAGAGGGGGACAGAUGGAGAUGGGGUGACAGAUAGACCCAGAGAAAGGAACGUCGCAGCCACACCCACCUGCAGAUGGCACACGCCUACGUACUUGUCACCCUCCCUGCCCGUGAGAGAUACCACUCAGCCACCCUAUGACGUUGCAAAGUCACUCAGCCUUUUCUCCAAGUUUUUCUUGGAUGAAAUGAGAAUCUGGUAACAUCUGCUUUCCAAAUUUCAACCGCAAAUCGACAGGUAGAUCCUGUUUGCUCUGCCUCCCAAAACACUGUUCAGAGUCCAGCCACUUUUCCCUCCUCCAGGGAACCCCCCUGGCCAGGCCACC